rnacentral:rRNA from 1 species
GACGAACGCUGGCGGCGUGCUUAACACAUGCAAGUCGAACGGAAAGGCCCUGCUUUUGUGGGGUGCUCGAGUGGCGAACGGGUGAGUAACACGUGAGUAACCUGCCCUUGACUUUGGGAUAACUUCAGGAAACUGGGGCUAAUACCGGAUAGGAGCUCCUGCUGCAUGGUGGGGGUUGGAACGUUUCGGCGGUUGGGGAUGGACUCGCGGCCUAUCAGCUUGUUGGUGGGGUAGUGGCUUACCAAGGCUUUGACGGGUAGCCGGCCUGAGAGGGUGACCGGCCACAUUGGGACUGAGAUACGGCCCAGACUCCUACGGGAGGCAGCAGUGGGGAAUAUUGCACAAUGGGCGGAAGCCUGAUGCAGCAACGCCGCGUGCGGGAUGACGGCCUUCGGGUUGUAAACCGCUUUCGCCUGUGACGAAGCGGGAGUGACGGUAAUGGGUAAAGAAGCACCGGCUAACUACGUG